rnacentral:rRNA from 1 species
CCUACGGGCGGCAGCAGUGGGGAAUAUUGCACAAUGGGGGAAACCCUGAUGCAGCGACGCCGCGUGAGUGAAGAAGUAAUUCGGUAUGUAAAGCUCUAUCAGCAGGGAAGAAAAUGACGGUACCUGAGUAAGAAGCCCCGGCUAACUACGUGCCAGCAGCCGCGGUAAUACGUAGGGGGCAAGCGUUAUCCGGAUUUACUGGGUGUAAAGGGAGCGUAGACGGCAGGGCAAGUCUGGAGUGAAAGGCGGGGGCUCAACCCCCGGACUGCUCUGGAAACUGUACGGCUGGAGUGCAGGAGAGGUAAGUGGAAUUCCUAGUGUAGCGGUGAAAUGCGUAGAUAUUAGGAGGAACACCAGGGGCGAAGGCGGCUUACUGGACUGUAACUGACGUUGAGGCUCGAAAGCGUGGGGAGCAAACAGGAUUAGAUACCCUGGUAGUC